CCUACGGGUGGCAGCAGUGGGGAAUAUUGGACAAUGGGCGCAACCCUGACGCAGCAACGCCGCGUGAAGGAAGAAGGCUUUCGGAUUGUAAACUUCUUUCGACAGGGAAGAGUAGAAGGCGAUCCCUGUCAGAUAAGCCACGUCUAACUGCGUCCCAGCAGCCGCGGUAAUGCGUAGGUGGCAAGCGUUGUCCGGAUUUACUGGGUGUAAAGGGCGUGUAGACGGGUUGACAAGUCAGAUGUGAAAUCCUGCGGCUUAACCGUAGAACUGCAUUUGAAACUGUUGAUCUGGAGUGCUGGAGAGGUAGGCGGAAUUCCUAGUGUAGCGGUGAAAUGCGUAGAUAUUAGGAGGAACACCAGUGGCGAAGGCGGCUUUCUGGACUGUAACUGACAUUGAGGUACGAAAGCGUGGGGAGCAAACAGGAUUAGAUACCCGUGUAGUC
rnacentral:rRNA from 1 species